ensembl:lncRNA
CUCCAGACCUGAACCCAAUAGAAAAUCUUUGGAGGGAGCUGAAAGACCGUAUUGCCCAGUGACAGCCCCGAAACCUGAAGGAUCUGGAGAAGGUCUGUAUGGAGGAGUGGGCCAAAAUCCCUGCUGCAGUGUGUUCAAACCUGGUCAAGAACUACAGGAAACAUCGACGUGAAUGUCAUAGCUUUAAUGGCAGAUGAAGAGCUGGUUCAAUAUAUCAAUAGAUAUGGAGACCGACUUGCUGUUCGAGCAUUUUGUCGGCAAAGAACUUGGACGAACAACAGUGAGACAGUGAAGUCAGCUCUGAUGCACAGGGUUUGAGAAAAAUGAAGGAAGAACAUCCGCCAAAAGCGACACAGCUGUAUGUAGACCUGUCGGCAAUAGAUAUGCAGUGAAAGACAAACGGCGGGUCGAAAUGGGAUGGCUUAACUUUCAGAAGGGCGAGUAUCACCAGGUCCGAACAAAAGGUGGAGGUGGACAUGGCACCAGUCUGUGCAGAAAACUGUAACCGUGGGUGAGCUGCUAUAUAGGCAAAGAUUUAUUCUUCCCAGAUGGACACUCUGCCAAAGGACCUAUUGGGAAGUUCAAUUUUGACAUUCGUGAUUUCAGUCAGAAUUCGCUACCUCAUGAUUGCACCGUAGACCAGCUGUAUGAGAGGACCAAGCUGCGAAUGCUGUGCAUUUACACGUGCUCCCAUUAAUCAUUCUCUCGGAUGCAUCCUCAGACUUUGAGCCCAACGAUGAGAGGCCAGUGAAGAUAACUACAUGUAGGCAGUGUAUGCCAAGCUGUCUGACCGUCCACCCAUCCAUCUAUCCGCUAUUGUAAUGCCAACUCCCAAUGAGGUUAGAGUGUGCCAUGGUCGUACAAGCCCAUCAUUUGCUGAUCUGCUGAUUUCUGCAGAACAAAACCAGGAGACAUCAUCACAAGAGGACUGAAUCUACCAAAGAGGAUCACCCAGAGAAAUGUUCUGAUUUAGAUGAGGCACCUACUGACUCAGUGCAAGAAACUCAUGAAAGAGGCGACGAGCCAGGCAAUCAAGAUCAGCCCCUCGUGAGAUGAGUGAAAUAGAAUUCCUGCCUUCACUUGCUGAUGAUUGUUUAAUGCUUGCGUCAAAUGAACAUGCAGACCAGUGCAGUUAUGAGGUGGAAUCCCAAAUUGCCCUUGCCAUCCAUGCGUCUCUCAAAGACUUUGAAGUACAGUUUGGAGGAAUUUGUUCUGGUGAUGAUGGUUGUGAAGACUCCACUCUUCCUUGGAAUCCUUGUUACCUCAACAAUAUGCAGCAUUCUACAAUGAACGAUUGACCUGCAUCAUCAAACAGUCUUACAGCAUCACCAGAUCAGUCUGAAAAAGAAGUCCUGUAUGAGGAAUUAAGGCGAGUUAACAUAGUUCAUGAUGUCCUUAAUGUCUUCAUGGAACCAAGAGUACUGAAUGUUAAUCUGAAAAUGGAGUUUAUGAAUGAGAAAGCUGUGGACACUGAUGGUGUGUCAAGAGAGGUGUAUUCUGCCUUCUGGGAACACUUCUUGGAACAGUGUGAGAGGGAAGAAGAGAGAGUUCCCAGACUACGACCAGACUAUUCUGAGAAGGAAUGGAAAGCAGUUGGAAGAGUGGUUGAAAGGAUACUUGGACUACGGCAUCAUGCCUAUCAGACUGUUAAUAGCUUUUGUGCUUGCCUGCUGCCAAGGAGUCAGCUCAGUGGAUGAAGAACUCUUGAUGACGUCCUUUGCCAGAUUCCUGUCAGUGACUGAGAGACAAUCCAUUGAAAAAGCAAUGCAAGGCAGCAUGGAUGAGAGUGAUGAGGAGGAAUUACUCGACCUCUUUUCACGAAUGGGCGCACACUGCCUGCCCUGUAAAGAAAACCUAAGGGCUACCAUUGUAACAAUGGCACACAAAGCUUAUUAUUGACUGUUUCCAGUCCAGUAUUCACACUGCUUUGCCAACUCCCAUAACCAAAGGGUGCCUAAUGGAUCUCUAUGAAUCUAAGAGACCAACCAACAGCAAAGUGGCACAGAUGAUUAAACCGUCAAAUGAAAGCUUAAGUACACAGGAGCAGGCAGCCCUCAACCACCUACUACGAUAUGUCAGAAGCAUUGACCAAAAUAAGCUAGAAACCUUUUUGCGCUUCUGCACAGGGUCCACUGUGCUGUGCAAAGACAAAAUUGAAGUAACUUUUAAUAAACUGUGUGGUUUAAGUCGCAGGCCUGUUGCACACACUUGUAGAGCAGUACUUGAGUUACUAUGCACCUACAGCACAU